CAGGGUCCGUUGUGACGCCGCUCGUCGGGGUCCUCUGUGGAGCGUCGAUGGUUGUCCUCCCGCUCUUACUUUAUCGCUUCAUGAGGUCAAAGGGUUGCAUCGGCAGGUUGGUGCAAACAGUCUCUCCUCCCUCAGGGGGCCGUACGUCCGCGCUGUUAUUCGCUGCUUUCUGAUUUCACUGCUUUUCCCACACGUGUCAGAGCCUCGGCCCCCCAGAGGCCCCAUCAGAAGGACGCGGUCGUGCAGCCUGAAGCCCACGAGCACGUCUACGCCGCCCCCCUCCCAGGCGAUGAUUCCAUCUACCACUCGAUCCACGGGGGAAACGCUGACCGAUGCGGCGAUGAGGCCCCGUUACACGCCAUUCAGCUCGGUGGUCUCGAAGGGACGAGUGAUUAUGAAGAGCCAGACGAGGACUGACACUAUAAUAACGUGAAUCCAGAUCCAUCCGGAGAAGUGCAACGUCGACAAGACAAGUGAAGAAAAACGGAUAGAUGGUUACAAACUUCAUCUUCAUGUUCAUGCAGCAGAACAACAGCUCCUUAGAUGUCUUUGUAAUCUAAAUGAUAUAAUAUAUAUUUUCACCAUGUGUGUCAUGUGUUGCCGUCCUUCACAUUGUACAUAUUGACAUGUAUACAUGCAUAUGUCAUAUAAUCCAUAUAUUUAUCUAUUCAGUUUAUAAAUGUAUACAAAAUUCUUUUUAUUUUCUGCUUUUUAUAUAUUAUUCUAUGAUAUAUAAUCAAAGCUUUGGUUCACAUACUGUCCAUUGUGUACCUUUUAAAUGUCCUAGCUUUGUCCUCUCUUUCCCAGCCGUCCAACAAUGCGAGCAAAUGUCUAAUUCCUUAUUAUUACCAUUC